GGUGCUGGCCCCGCAGCUCGGUGUGUGGGCUGUGCCAGCCCAUGGUGCUGUGCCAGGAGCCGGUGCUGUCCCCAGGUGAUAGUGCUGUGCCAGGGAAUGGCCUCGGCCCUCCUCAGAGCAGCGUGCUGGGUGCUGGCCAGGUGCCACCGCCCCUGAACGCCGCGCGGCCCUACCGCGGUCUCUGCCUCAGGAAUCUCAGAUGGAGGAAUCGAGCAGAAUAGAUGGGGAAUUUGCUUUCAGAAUUGAAGUUCAGCAGGACUUGGUUCUCUCCAUGAGUGACAGAAUCCUUCACAGUGAGUUCCCAGCAUAUUGAAAACUUUCAAAGGAUGAAAUGGAUUGGUUUGGCAGAUCUGGAGAGCCUGAAUUAAUCCCCUGGCUAGAGCAUUUGAGCACUGCUGAUGUGGAACAGCACAGCCAGCAACGUAAAGCCCCAAAUUAUUUCAAGGUAAACUCCUGGAACUGUUUGAUGGUCAUCCUGUGAUCCACGUAAUGUUCUACUAGUUCAGGAGGGCAGAGAAGAAUGAUGUGUCCAAGCAAGAACUUGGACUGCUCUGAAGGCACAAAGCUCUUCAUCUCAUGUGCAACCUCGUGUGGGACAUCCCAGCUCUAAGAGCUUCCUUCUAAUAAAUCCCCUUGAUGCAGUUGGUUUUCUGGGAAGGGAAGAAGCAGGGAGGAAAAGCUGAGUGGAUUUUUAAGUGAAGCCACUACCAAUUGCUAUCCAUUAGACCUACAAACUCUUCAGCUUUCUAGACAUUUCUUCCGACCUCUGUCAUGGAGAACUUCACUGUGAAGACGCAAAAUGCAGAGGGAUUGACAACCAAAGCCCCGCAUGUACUUUUUCCCACACGUCCAACCUGUAGAUGAAGAUUUUACACCACGAGUAGUUGAGAAGGUCAUAUUCCAAACACCUCACAUGACAAGGAAUGAACAGCCACACUUCUUCCACUUACCUGUUCUGGUGGAGACAAGUCUUCCAUAUUGUACAACGAUAAGCAAAAGUAGCUCAAAUGGAGUAACAAAGAAAGGAAGUGAUUCAGAGGCUUUGAACCACAGGACCAACAAUUCACAUCCAUCCACGCAAACGCCGGCAAAGUGACUGGGCCUAACACUGGCUGCAAACUGGGCUGUGUGUUCCCUCACAGAACACCUACACACCAGGUUACUCCUCGAGCAACCUGUCUGGGAUGCCACACAGUGGUACUCAGCGCACAGCCCACGACCAACGGCCAAACGUCACCGUCUUGUGACGCAAAGAUCAGAAACAGCCGAAUUUUUUAACGACGAGUCAGAGCUAAACAAGCAUGGCCACCAUUAGUCUGAGACAUACCAGCUUUAUUUCCUUCUAGAACUAAUCCAAACGUCUGAAGAAAACUCGGACAACACCAGGUAAAGAUCCUCCAUGCAUCCCAGAAACUACUCAUCCUAAAGUUGUGUUGCUAGCUUUUUUGUGUCAAAGUUGUUCUUCACAGAACUCCCACUGGCUAUUCCUGAGUUGCAACAGCAACACAGGUGACAUGCAACAUCCUUAAAAUUACAAAGUUAAAUGGCAGAUACCACAAAAUGGAGAGAAAAACACCAAUGGUACUAUUCAGAUCAUCAUGUACUUCCAAUAAUUUAACACCUUGGAGGAGAGCUGAAGUGCUGUUCACUUCAGAGGAGGUCUGUCACACACAGCAAAAUACAGUCCUAGUAGAGCAAUGUCAUCCCUUAACUGUGACCUCUGUCAAAGACUUUGAAAGACAAUGAAAGUAAAAACUGCCUACGUGAAACCUCUCAGAUCCUCCAUGUCUUGCUCCUGAGACCCUACAGCUGAUCAUCAAGAUCAUCAAACACAGAGUUAGUCCAACCAAGUCCAACCAACCACAGCAGCAGCUCCACACCCAAGCACACCCUGAUGGUUGAGCAGUGCCUAUCACCGGCACACAGUUCCAACUGGAAGGUGAUGGUUUCAGUCCUAGCCCUUAAACUGUGCUCUCCAGAGAACCACAACAGAAAUGGCCAUUUCACCAGGAAACACCAGGAGCCUGAGGAGGUGCUCCAGACCAAGAAGUGUAGGACAUCCAGUCACGUUUGGUGUCUUCAGAUGACAGACUUCCACCCUCGUUCCACUUACUGGAACAGGAUAUUUCAAACCACCAGGUCCAGUCUGCCUUAUUUCUAAUUUCAGCUUUCUCCCUUCUUCUUCUUCUUCUCCGGCAUGGCAAGAGCGGCUAGACCCGU